rnacentral:sRNA from 1 species
UAAUUGAAUAGAAUUACCGUAGACAGUAGGGGCCUUUGGCUUAAUGAUCCUACCGAGGUUUUGGAUAUAUAUAUUAUUUAUUUUCAUGCCUUAGUUACACCCUUCUGUCCACAUUUUAGUGGGUAAAAGGGUUUUUCU